rnacentral:rRNA from 1 species
UGGGGAAUUUUGGACAAUGGGCGAAAGCCUGAUCCAGCCAUACCGCGUGCGGGAAGAAGGCCUUCGGGUUGUAAACCGCUUUUGUCAGGGAAGAAAUCCUUUGGGUUAAUACCUCGGAGGGAUGACGGUACCUGAAGAAUAAGCACCGGCUAACUACGUGCCAGCAGCCGCGGUAAUACGUAGGGUGCAAGCGUUAAUCGGAAUUACUGGGCGUAAAGCGUGCGCAGGCGGUUCUAUAAGACAGAUGUGAAAUCCCCGGGCUCAACCUGGGAACUGCAUUUGUGACUGUAGAGCUAGAGUACGGUAGAGAGGGAUGGAAUUCCGCGUGUAGCAGUGAAAUGCGUAGAUAUGCGGAGGAACACCGAUGGCGAAGGCAAUCCCCUGGACCUGUACUGACGCUCAUGCACGAAAGCGUGGGGAGCAAACAGGAUUAGAUACCCUGGUAGUCCACGCCCUAAACGAUGUCAACUGGUUGUUGGGAGGGUUUCUUCUCAGUAACGAAGCUAACGCGUGAAGUUGACCGCCUGGGGAGUACGGCCGCAAGGUUG